UGGGGAAUUUUGCACAAUGGGGGAAACCCUGAUGCAGCGACGCCGCGUGAUUUAGAAGGCCUUCGGGUUGUAAAAAUCUUUUGUAGGGGAAGAAAAUGACAGUACCAUACGAAUAAGGAGCGGCUAAUUACGUGCCAGGAGCCGCGGUAAUACGUAAGGUCCGAGCGUGGUCCGGAAUCAUUGGGCGUAAAGGGUACGUAGGCGGAUAAGCAAGUUAGAAGUGAAAUCCUAUAGCUCAACUAUAGUAAGCUUUUAAAACUGCUCAUCUUGAGGUAUGGAAGGGAAAGUGGAAUUCCUUGUGUGGCGGUGAACUGCGCAGAUAUUAGGAGGAAUACCGGUGGCGAAGGCGACUUUCUGGCCAUAUACUGACGCUGGGGUACGAAAGCGUGGGUAGCAAACAGG
rnacentral:rRNA from 1 species